rnacentral:rRNA from 1 species
GCAGUCGAGCGGACAGAUGGGAGCUUGCUCCCUGAUGUUAGCGGCGGACGGGUGAGUAACACGUGGGUAACCUGCCUGUAAGACUGGGAUAACUCCGGGAAACCGGGGCUAAUACCGGAUGCUUGUUUGAACCGCAUGGUUCAAACAUAAAAGGUGGCUUCGGCUACCACUUACAGAUGGACCCGCGGCGCAUUAGCUAGUUGGUGAGGUAAUGGCUCACCAAGGCAACGAUGCGUAGCCGACCUGAGAGGGUGAUCGGCCACACUGGGACUGAGACACGGCCCAGACUCCUACGGGAGGCAGCAGUAGGGAAUCUUCCGCAAUGGACGAAAGUCUGACGGAGCAACGCCGCGUGAGUGAUGAAGGUUUUCGGAUCGUAAAGCUCUGUUGUUAGGGAAGAACAAGUACCGUUCGAAUAGGGCGGUACCUUGACGGUACCUAACCAGAAAGCCACGGCUAACUACGUGCCAGCAGCCGCGGUAAUACGUAGGUGGCAAGCGUUGUCCGGAAUUAUUGGGCGUAAAGGGCUCGCAGGCGGUUCCUUAAGUCUGAUGUGAAAGCCCCCGGCUCAACCGGGGAGGGUCAUUGGAAACUGGGGAACUUGAGUGCAGAAGAGGAGAGUGGAAUUCCACGUGUAGCGGUGAAAUGCGUAGAGAUGUGGAGGAACACCAGUGGCGAAGGCGACUCUCUGGUCUGUAACUGACGCUGAGGAGCGAAAGCGUGGGGAGCGAACAGGAUUAGAUACCCUGGUAGUCCACGCCGUAAACGAUGAGUGCUAAGUGUUAGGGGGUUUCCGCCCCUUAGUGCUGCAGCUAACGCAUUAAGCACUCCGCCUGGGGAGUACGGUCGCAAGACUGAAACUCAAAGGAAUUGACGGGGGCCCGCACAAGCGGUGGAGCAUGUGGUUUAAUUCGAAGCAACGCGAAGAACCUUACCAGGUCUUGACAUCCUCUGACAAUCCUAGAGAUAGGACGUCCCCUUCGGGGGCAGAGUGACAGGUGGUGCAUGGUUGUCGUCAGCUCGUGUCGUGAGAUGUUGGGUUAAGUCCCGCAACGAGCGCAACCCUUGAUCUUAGUUGCCAGCAUUCAGUUGGGCACUCUAAGGUGACUGCCGGUGACAAACCGGAGGAAGGUGGGGAUGACGUCAAAUCAUCAUGCCCCUUAUGACCUGGGCUACACACGUGCUACAAUGGACAGAACAAAGGGCAGCGAAACCGCGAGGUUAAGCCAAUCCCACAAAUCUGUUCUCAGUUCGGAUCGCAGUCUGCAACUCGACUGCGUGAAGCUGGAAUCGCUAGUAAUCGCGGAUCAGCAU